GUUACUGUGCGGUUAGUGUGAAUGAUCCGCCGCCCGGUUCCUCCGGGCGGAAACAGCGCUGUGAGCAGCAUGGCUGAGACUAGCAGUGAGUCUGAGAGAUAGAGAGAGAGGCUGUGAGAUGCUGUGAGAUGAGGAUUAUGGCCAAUCUCCAAAAAAACUGGUACUCCAUACUUGGUGCGGCCCAAACUGAUGAUUUACAAGAGCUCAAACGGAAGUACCAGAGACUGGUCCUUGAGCUUCAUCCAGACAAGCAGAAGUCUGACCUAUCAGAGGAGGAGGCGGAGCUGCACCUGCAGAGGUUCAUAGAUGUGGAUCAGGCCUGGAAGGUGUUGAGCAAUGAGGAGAGCAGGAAGGCGUUUGACCUGCAGCUGCGUGCACAAGAACUGAAGCAAAGCUGGCCAGUUGAUGCCUGUAUUAAACUUGAGGACAUGGACUGGGACAGUGAGAAUGAGUGUUACUCCUACAGCUGCCGCUGUGGUGGGGAGUUUCACCUGGAGAAGGACGAGGCGGAGGAGGAAGAAGACUCAGUGGUGUGCUGCGAUACGUGCUCGCUCAGUAUUGAAGUGAAGAGCUGUAGAUGAUGUCUUCUGUCUACGCUCUUCUCUCUACACUCUUCUGUCUACAAAUAUAAAGGUGCUUCAGGGGAUCUGCGGGGUUACAUCAUUGGAAGAAGGUCACGGGUUGAUUAAGACUUCAAACAGAGUCAUUAGGCUGUUCGCUGAAAUCUGUCCUCUCCCAGAAGAAACGGCUCGAGUGGCGCAAAAAACCACGCUUUUCAUCAGCGUCCCCUCCUGGCGGCCCGGGCCGAAGCUGGACCUGCCAGUGGGCCUGCAGCGGACCGAAUCCUAAUCCAUACUGACAUCAAUUAGGGAUAAUCUCAUCACUUUUAGAGAGUGGGCUUGUCAAAGCUCUAAUUACGUCUGCUGUCCCCCCUAUAUGUGCAGACAGGAUCAACAACACAUUGUAGUCCGGUGAUGGGCAACAUCAUGCUAUUUUCGUAAAGGCCUAACUUUUCACCUGGUCUGCACUCUGGAUUUCUGACUGAACAGCAAACACCUCCUCUUUCUCCUCCUCCUCCUCCAGCUGUUUGUUUGUGUAAAGCAUUUUUGGUGGCUAAGUCUUUGGAUAUACUCAUUUAAGUAAUGAGAUUUCUGUGAAGAAUUGUGAAGAAAUAUUUUUUUAUGCUGCAUUUCAGUGGUGUCCAGUUUGUCAGUACAUGAGUUUCCCCACAUGGAAAAAUGUAUGGUCCCACUUUAUUAUAUGAGUCUCUAAUAACUGUGUAGUUACACAUUAACAAUCAUGUAAUAACAGUGUAACUACUAGUGAUGUGCACAUUGGUAGAGAUUUAUUAAAGUUGUACAGGUUAUGUAUUAGAGCAGCUCUUGUCUGGUAUGUAAUGGUAUGUAACUGACACAUAUGAGUAAUUACAUAACCUGUCCAACUGUAUUUAGUCUCUAAUAAUGUGUAAUUCAUUAGUAAUUACACUGCUAUUACAUGGAUUGUUAACAUGUAUGUAUAGAGUUAUUAGAGCUACUUAAUACAAAGUGUGACCUUGACUUUGAUAAAGCACAAAUUGACCAAGUUGUGAUUUAAAUGCUUUCUAACAUGGCCAGUAACUGUGUAGUUACACAUUAAUAGUCUAUGUAAUAACAGUGUAACUACUAGUGAUGUGCACAUUGGUAGAGAUUUAUUACAGUUGUACAGGUUAUGUAUUAGAGCAGCUCUUGUCUGGUAUGUAAUGGUAUGUAACUGAUACAUAUGAGUAAUUACAUAACCUGUCCAACUAUAUUUAGUCUCUAAUAAUGUGUAAUUCAUUAGUAAUUACACUGCUAUUACAUGGAUUGUUAACUUCUAUAUCUAUAGAGUUAUUAGAGGCAUUUAUUACAAAGUUUGACCUUGACUUUGAUGAAGCAACAAAUUGACCAGGUUGUGAUGUAAAUGCUUUCUAACAUGGCCAGUAACUGUGUAGUUACACAUUAAUAGUCUAUGUAAUAACAGUGUAACUACUGGUGAUGCAUGCAUUGUUACAGAUUCAUUACAGGUGUACAGGUUAUAAAACAGAAUUCUGUCAACAUUAAUAUUAAUGUGUGUUUAAUAGGGUACUUACAUGUGUCAUAGUGUGUUUAGAAUUAAGUCUGUAACAAUGUGUAAUUCAUUAGUAGUUACACUGUUAUUACAUGGAUUCUUAACAUAUGACUACACAGUUAUUAGAGGUGCUUAUAACAAAGUGGGACCUGGGCUUUUGAUGCAGCACAAAUUGACUAACUUGUAAAGUAAAUGCUUUCCAACACGCCCCAACAGUUAAACAACAUCAAAAAAAAAACGAUUAAUAGUCUGCUUUUCGUAUGGUAAUUCAGGUUUUAAAUUAUGAUUAAUCACAAUUUAAAAAUUCUCAUGGUUUCUUGUACCAUUAGGAGGGAGGAUAUUUGUGUGGUUCGCCUUGCAAACUGCUUAAAGUAAACAAUUAAAUAUUUUCAUAUCUCAGUGUAGUUUUGUUGAUGCUGUUCUUAUUAAAACUGUAGUUAUUAAAAUGUUUACCUGUAAUGCUGUCUACUCCCAACUUCCAGCGUAAAUGUACAGGGGUUGGGCAAUGCAACUGAAACACCUAGUUUUAGACCACAAUAAUUUAUUGUGGUGACGGACGGUUCUGGUGGAAACAGGAGAGUUGAGGUGCACAUUGAAUUCUGCCGUGAUUUGAUCAGCCGUUGUUUUAUGUUUUUUGGAUACAAUCCAGGUUAGCACCCGACCAUCCCUUUCAGACAGCUUCCUCUUACAGCGUCCACAGUUAAUCCUGUUGGAUGUGGUUGGUUCUUUUUGGUGGUAUGCUGACAUUACCCUGGAUACCGUGGCUCUUGGUGCAUCACAAAGACUUGAUGUCUUGGUCACAGAUGCGGCAGCAAGACGUGCACCAACAAUUUGUCCUCUUUUGAACUCUGGUAUGUCACCCAUAAUGUUGUGUGCAUUGCAAUAUUUUGAGCAAAACUGUGCAAAACUCUUACCCUGCUAAUUGAACCUUCACACUCUGCUCUUACUGGUGCAAUAAUGUGCAAUUAAUGAAGAUUGGCCACCAGUCUGUUCCAAUUUAGCCAUGAAACCUCCCACACUAAAAUGACAGGUGUUUCAGUUUCAUUGUCCAACCCCUGUAAUUCUGUAUUAUUUGUCACAUUGCAAUGACAUAGUAAGAACAGUAGAAGUAGAGCGGUAGAGCACUCUCUUCUACUAUGUGCAGGACCUCUGAUUAGUGUUAACAGAGCAUUUUAAAGCUUAACAGUACUUAAAGCUCCACUAGGUAGGAUUGAGAUUUUGUGCUCGUGGGCUCCCCCUACAGGUGUAGAGUGUAAUAAAUGUUUCAGGCGGAUUAGUUUCUUUUUCUCGUUUUCUGGCUUUCACAGACAUAUUUGGUGUCUUUCCAGCUUCUGCCAGAGUGUCUGUAUGUUAGGUUGUAAAGAAUGAACCAGUAGUCCUUGUAAAACUGUUAGAACUAAAGGUCGGAAAGCAGGUCGCAGUUUUUGCGAGCGUUGAUCGCGGCCGCCUCGGAAAACUUACAGUCUGGCUUGAGCUCAGAGGAGCUCCGGCACAGACACGAGAGCACCGCCAUCCAUCCUAUUACACCUUAAUGCAGCGCUGCAGUAAGUUUCUAGCUGUAAUUUUACUUCUUUAAAAAGAUAAAAAAAUCAGGGAAAUCCUACCUAGUGCUGCUUUAAAGAAACAAAACCACUAUAAUAUAACAGCAUUUGUAACAGAGUAAAAUCCAACUGGACACAUUUUACAUUUAUAAUCGACGCAGGCUUUCAAUUAGCCACCUUAAUUUCUUUGUGAGAAAACGGUAGUAAAAAGUUUAGCACAUCAGCAGGUGAGCCUAGCCCGGCAUGACCUCAGAUGCUUAAUGUAUUUUCUCACAUUAUUGGAGGCGUGGAAGUCCCGUCGUGCCCUGGUGUGUGUGUGUGUGUGUGUGUGUGUGUGAGAAUGGCAGCGGUAACCUUAAACCCCCGUCAAGUGAGAACCGGCGGGUUUCACUGAUCUCCCACUCACUUCACAGGUAUCCCUGAAAAGCGUUUCCCUCAAAAGAGGGCCUGGUGCUCGGAGGUGGAGGGGCAGAAAGCCACUCUUUUUCUUUUAAUUAACUUUCUUCUCGUUCUUUAUCCUCCUGUUCUCCUUGAACUCAGCCAUAAUCUCAGGCAGACAAAAGAAGACCCUCCCUUCCCUCCCGCUCCCAGUUCAUAUCCCAGCCCAAAUCUUUAAAAUAGUUUCCCUGUUUUGGCCAAGACUGCAAAUGCAAUUGUGUCCCUGGGCUCAUAGGUGUUAGCCACACAAAAGUUGGCCCCUGCCAGCAUCAGCAGGUGUUGCCUGUUGAUUGGCUAAUCAUCUGCAAGAAAGAGGAGAACUCAGACUGUUGCAUCUCUUUUUUUGUUUUUGUCUUUUGUCUUAUUUUUAAAGGAACAAUAAGUGAUAAAUGUGAGUGAGUGUGUGAAAUGGCUACAGGAUAGAGUGAAUAGAAGCUCACACAGUGAAUACAAGUGUUACUCUAACGCUGAUCAGUGUGUAUACAGCUCUGGGGAAAAAAUGAAGAGACCACUUCAGUUUCUGAAUCAGUUUCUCUGAUUUUGCUAAUUAUAGGUUUAUGUCUGAGUAAAAUGAACAUUGUUUUAUUCUAUAAACUGCAGACAACAUUUCUCCCAAAUUCCAAAUAAAAUAUUCUCAUUUAGAGCAUUUAUUUGCUUAAAAGUGAGAAAUGGUUAAAAUAUAAAAAAAAUAAUAAUGCAAAGAAAACAAGUUCAUAUUCAGGUUUUAAAAGUUCAGAAAUCAAAAUUUGAUGAAAUAACCCUGGUUUUUAUUCACAAUUGUCAUGUAUAUUGGCAUGUUCUCCUCCACCAGUCUUUUGGAUAACUUUAUGCCUUUACUCCUGGUGCAAAACUUCAGCUGCAGUUCGGCUUGGUCUGAUGGCUUGUGAUCAUCCGUCUACCUCUUGAUUAUAUUCAAUUGUUUUCAAUUUGGUAAAAUCAAAGAAACUCAUCACUUUUAAGAACUGUAAAUACUGUACAUACAGUGGCGUGAAAAAGUAUUUGUCCCCCUACAGGUUUCUUUUGUUUUUGCUUUUUUUCCUCAUACCUACAUUUUUUAGAUUAUCAAACAAAAUUUAAUAUCAGACAAGAAGAUAACCUGAGUAAAUAUAUAAAAACUCUUUUUGAAUUACAAUUGAACAAUCUAGCCCUGUGUAAAAAAGUGGUUCCAUCUAUUACCGCAAGUUGUCCAGGUCCUGAAACAACAAAGCAGGUAUGAUGUUCUUUUUCUGAGAUUGUGUGUUCCAAAAAGUUCCACAUUUGUCACAUCAGUUCAAAGAAUAUUUAUGCAAAGUUAUGGCGAUCAUCAAGAUGUUUUUUUGGCAAAUGCAAGAUGGGCCGUUGAGUUCCUUCUAGUCAGCCCUGUUUUUUUUUUUUUUUUUUUAAUAAUUUCAGUCAGCCGUCCCACUCCUGGGAAGGUUUCACAAAGGUUUUGGUUGGUUUGUAUAGUUUUUUUCCUUCAAUAAAUAUAUAUAUUUGUCUGAUAUUAAAUUUUGUUUAAUAAUCUAAAAAAUGAAAAAGUCUGCAAUAGAAAACUGCAAAAACAUAAGAAAUCUGUAAGGACGCAAAAACAUUUUCACACCACCGUAUAUCACACGCUAACGCACAUUGAAAUCCCAAAAAUUGCAAGUGUAUUGACAAUCAAAAAUAUUGGUUUCUGUAAGCAAUAGUAAAUGUACCAAGCUCAUCACCUACUACAGAUUGUAACCCCACAACUAACCUUUUUAAUACCCAGAUCACUCUUCUAGAACCAAUGUUUGGAUUUGUGUGUUUGGGCUGUUUUCUCUUUGUAUUAAUGUGUCAAAAGCCUUGGCUAACAAAGACUGCCUGUCCUCUGCUCAACCAAGCAUUAAUGUUUACCAUAAAGAUCAGCGAGAGGGAUUCAGAGGUUUAAUUCGGACUUCCGCACUGAAUCCUGAGAGUAAACAGAGUCAGAUGGCUGUUUGAUUCCUGCCUUCAGCAGCUGUGGUGUUGAGGAAAUGGCUAAUAUGUAGCUUAACCGCUAGUGCUUGACGGCUCUAAUUCUAAUGCCUAAUUAAAUAAAAAACAGUAAAACAGUGUAAAAAAAAAACAUUUGGGUAUUAGUUUGUUAUUCCUACUGAGAGUGAAGAUUAAAGACAAGUGUCUUCACUAAAUAAUCCCUUAAUAAUCCCUUAAAGGCAUAAUUUGACCUUGCAUUCAAACCUGUUAACUUUAUCACUGGAGAUUUUUUUU